rnacentral:rRNA from 1 species
AGAGUUUGAUCCUGGCUACAGAACGAACGCUGGCGGCAUGCCUAACACAUGCAAGUCGAACGAGACCUUCGGGUCUAGUGGCGCACGGGUGCGUAACGCGUGGGAAUCUACCCUUGGGUUCGGAAUAACUCAGAGAAAUUUGAGCUAAUACCGGAUAAUGUCUUCGGACCAAAGAUUUAUCGCCUUUGGAUGGGCCCGCGUUGGAUUAGCUAGUUGGUGGGGUAAAGGCCUACCAAGGCGACGAUCCAUAGCUGGUCUGAGAGGAUGAUCAGCCACACUGGGACUGAGACACGGCCCAGACUCCUACGGGAGGCAGCAGUGGGGAAUAUUGGACAAUGGGCGAAAGCCUGAUCCAGCAAUGCCGCGUGAGUGAUGAAGGCCUUAGGGUUGUAAAGCUCUUUUACUGGGGAUGAUAAUGACAGUACCCAGAGAAUAAGCUCCGGCUAACUCCGUG